GUGAAACUAGCUUAAUGGUAGAGCAUAGCUUUGCCAAGCCUGAGGUUGAGGGUUUAAGUCCCUCCUUCCGCU
rfam:Capsicum annuum cultivar Zunla-1 unplaced genomic scaffold scaffold1354, whole genome shotgun sequence